UUAAUGAAACUGUUUUGAAGAUUUUAUUAUAAGUCUUCGCCACAUUCCUUAGGGGUAAUUAGUGUGUAUCGUACUAGUUGAAUUGGUGGUUUCUUAUUCAUCUACCUUACAUAAACCUUUUACUGUUAAGAAUUUGAAAAUAGUUACCUAAAAUAAGGACGUUCCAGAUUGGCUAAAGGAGAAUGAUUUCAGAACAAAAGUCAGCUCGCUAUACGUCGCCACUGAGGGACUCGGACCCUACCCUUGACCUACCCGGUGACUAAGCCAUAGUCAACCACGCUGGCCCGCUGAGGUUUAGUUUAAUUCACACAUAUCUUUGAAUUUCAUCGCUGACGUGUGCAGUAUGCAUCCCGAUGUUUUUCUUCAACGUAUUCUUCUACGUAUACUUCGGGUAAAUUAUGUAUAUAUAAACACAUUGGUAAAUCACGAAAUUCGAACCUCAGAGCUGUAGAUUUCAAGUCAAGUGUUCAAACCCCUAAGCCACCGACGAUCUUAUUUCAACGUUCGACUUUGUGAUGCAUACUUGAAUAUUAUUUUUAUGAAACUAUUCAUUCAAUAAGUUUAACCUUUAUUUAGAAAACAAUUUCAAAUAGUCUCAUCCGUAAAAGUAUGGAACAAAUAUUGAAAAUGAAUUAAAUUUCAAAAUGACACCUUGAUAAAGUUAAUAGGUUUAAUUCAGUUGGACGUCGGAUGCAUUUCGUGGGACAAAGAGGUCCGGGAACAAUGCGGUAUCGGAUGUCACCCCGGGUUUACUCGAUCUCCACUUGCCUUUGGUUUGCGUUGAAGCGGACGACAGUUGGAUGGAAUUGAUACUGAAGGACCUCUGACUUCACAAACACUUUUACUAUCCUCUACAUCUGUGCCAAAUUUCAUCGAGAGUGAAACAUCAUCCAUAAACGGAAUAAAUAGUAUCCUAUGUCCGUCUCCUGGCACUAAGCUACCUCCUCACCAAUUUUCAGCCAUAUCGGUAGAGCCGUUCUUAAGUUAUAAAUAGUUUAACUAACACGACUGUCUUUUAUACAUAUAGAUUUUGAUUUACUAAAAAGGCGAUUAAGCUAAGUAAUAAAUGUUGAAAACAGGUACUACAAUUAUAUAAUGUAUUUAUUUUAUAAGCUACGAAAAUAUCACCAGCUGUUUACAAUGCUUUUGACAGGUAAUUAAAAUUUUAUUCCAAUCUCAACGCUUUUUAACGACUAUUAAAAAACUUAGCUGUAAGAAAAUUAUUGUGGGAAGUUAAUCGUAAGUAAGUAAAUUCAU